GACAUUUAUUUCUAGGUUGUUUACUUAAAAAUGCACGAUGCUGAAGUUUUACGAGAUACACCCACAGGUCUGUGUAAACUGAGCUACAUCCGCUGGCCACUGUGACCACAUAUAUUAUUAACUCUUUGUGUGCCAUGGGAAGCACUCAGGUACCAGUCUCCCGAAGUUGAGAGCUGCUUUGAACAGGCAUGGACUGCAGUGGUUUCCUGGAGAUGAAGACAUAGUUGCCAACUUGAUGUGUGGGGCGGUAGCAGCCACCUUGCUACAAUGAGGGGAUAAGCCUGAGGAUGACAGCUAAUACACUGAAGAUCAAUGAGCAUUAAGACAGAAAGAGCCUGGGUCAUUGAUGUCACUGUUGAGGGAAAAGGAACACUCUGAGGCAAGUGCUGUGAAAGUUCCUCCUUUAC